rnacentral:lncRNA from 1 species
UAAAUUUCAAUUAUCUUUUCAGGUUUUUAAAUAAUUUCUGAAAAGUCAGAGUUCUAUUUUUUAAAGAAAUUGUCAAUUAUUAUUAGGGUUUAUAUAAAUAUUUAACAUUUGUAUGGAUUUUUGGAUAUUCUUAAUUUUUAUUUGUAGCACGGAAUAGUUUGAAACAAGUUUGGAUAGCUCUUACUAUCAUGCAAAACAGUUCUGAUAAUUUCAACACCAUCGGUGCAAAUCUUGAAUGGAAAGUGAAAGAAAGGGGAUAAAAAAAAUGCUUUGCUAAAUUUGAACGAGGUUAGAAAAAAACUAGGUCAGUGAAUUAUGCAGAAGCGUAUAGGAACGAAAACGGAUGUUCCAUUCUCCAGCUCAGGGCGCUUGAGGACCCACGGCUGCCCCCGACGUAUGAUCCCCCACCCUGGGGUGGAGACCCUUUGUACCGACCGUCCCCACGGGUCUGGGGAAAAAAGCGGGACAGAUGUCUCGAAUUCAUUGUACUUCUCCCCUCUUCCAACGGUUGCAUGGGGGCCACCUUUUCUUUUCGUCGAGUGUUGUUCAGACAGGAAGGAAAAGUGGGUUUCCUGUGGGUCAAAUAAGUGACGUUGCUUUAUUAUACGAUGUAAUCUCAAUCAUCAUAGAUAUAAAUGAUAAAAAUAUUAAAAUUAAUAUUUUGUAGGAAGUGGUUGCAUGCCUAUCCACUUAAAAUAUAUAUUAUGCGAAUGUUUUGCAUACUUUAACGAAAUUGGCAAUGAUUCAUCA